UAAUCCGUUUACUUUUAGAUU
ensembl:piRNA 21ur-3994 ncRNA